rfam:Ovis aries breed Texel chromosome 12, whole genome shotgun sequence.
UGGCUCAGAUGGUAAAGCAUCUGCCUCCAAUGCAGGAGACCCAGGUUGGAUCCCUGG